rnacentral:rRNA from 1 species
UACGGGAGGCAGCAGUGGGGAAUAUUGCACAAUGGGCGCAAGCCUGAUGCAGCCAUGCCGCGUGUAUGAAGAAGGCCUUCGGGUUGUAAAGUACUUUCAGUCGUGAGGAAGGUGUUAAGGUUAAUAACCUUAGCAAUUGACGUUAGCGACAGAAGAAGCACCGGCUAACUCCGUGCCAGCAGCCGCAGUAAUACGGAGGGUGCGAGCGUUAAUCGGAAUUACUGGGCGUAAAGGGCACGCAGGCGGUUAAUUAAGUUGGAUGUGAAAUCCCCGGGCUUAACCUGGGAAUGGCAUUCAAGACUGGUUAGCUAGAGUCUUGUAGAGGGGGUAGAAUUCCAUGUGUAGCGGUGAAAUGCGUAGAGAUGUGGAGGAAUACCGGUGGCGAAGGCGGCCCCUGGGACAAAGACUGACGCUCAUGUGCGAAAGCGUGGGGAGCAAACAGGAUUAGAUACC